ACUAACGCUGGCGGCGUGCCUAACACAUGCAAGUCGAACGAGGCAGCAAUGCCUAGUGGCAGACGGGUGAGUAUCGCGUAGAUAAUGUGCCCUCUUGCGGGGGAUACCGUUUCGAAAGGAACGUUAAUACCGCAUAACACCUUCGGUGGGCAUCCACUGAGGGUCAAACUUCCGGGGCGAGAGGAGCAAUCUGCGUACUAUCAGCUAGUUGGUGAGGUAAUGGCUCACCAAGGCUACGACGGUUAACUGGUCUGAGAGGAUGAUCAGUCACACUGGAACUGAGACACGGUCCAGACUCCUACGGGAGGCAGCAGUGAGGAAUAUUGCGCAAUGGGCGAAAGCCUGACGCAGCGACGCCGCGUGGAGGAUGAAGGCCUUCGGGUUGUAAACUCCUGUCAGUGGGAAAGAGAAUGGACGGUACCCACUGAGGAAGCUUCGGCUAACUACGU
rnacentral:rRNA from 1 species